CCUGGACCUGACUUUGUCUUCAAGGAUCUGUGCUAUUUUGGAUUUUGACAUUGGAGAAGGAUCUCCAAACUACGUGGAUUAAACCUGGUUUGCCUACCCUCUGCUUUCUGGAACUACUGGCUGACAGCUACUUUGACGGUGCUCUACCUGGAACUACUACGGACCACCUCAAGCGAACCCUGUCCACCCUUGCACACAAUAACAUCUCCAACAGAACCUCAGAGUUACCUUAAAGUGAGUCAAGUACUUGCCUGCUCCGUUCAUCUCAGUGUGCAGCUCCGUUGUUGUCUCACCCCUCCUGGCAGAUCAACGUCCACUUCCUAUUUGUCCUCCGGUUCCAGCUCAACCCCUUCCCCUCGCUCACUGUAAAAUAAAGUAUUUGUUGAACUUUA